UAUUAGAAAGUCGUAAGUGUCAAUUAUUUAGUUUGACACCUGCGAGUUUCUAACAAA
rnacentral:pre_miRNA from 1 species